GUUUGAACAAUAAAUCUAUAAAUCUAUUGGUACUCUAUUGGUACUCUAUGACAACAGUCCAGUCGUCGUGAACCGUGCGCCAGAUUCCAGGUUAAACCUGCUACGUGUGGUCUGAGUUCCAUAAUGAUUCAAAUAGGCUACAUGUCUCAAAUUAUCGCACAAUGUUAUCCUAAUAUGAUCCACUAAUGCUAACGACCCUCAGGAACAACUACAGGGGCUUGAGGAAAGAAAGGUCGACAGAUCACUUCCCAUAGACGAGUUGGCAGACAAAGUCAGGAAAAUGAUGCGCGCAUCGAUGGGGUCAGAAGCUGUGCGUUGUUAUGAUUCUGAACGGUCAGCUAGCAGCAAUGACAACAAGCUGCCAUGUGGGGAAUCGUAGGUGGAUUGUUCGUUUCAGCUAGGCACGACUCCAACACCAUCAUCAAGUUUGCCGAUGAGACAUCCAAUAGGGAGGUCAGAGACCUGGCCGUGUGGUGCCAGGACAACAACCUCUCCCUCAACGUGAUCAAGACAAAGGAGAUGAUUGUGGACUACAGGAAAAGGAGGACCGAGCACGCCUCCAUUCUCAUCGACAGGGCUGUAGUGGAGCAGGUUGAGAGCUUCAAGUUCCUUGGUGUCCACAUCACCAACAAACUAUCAUGAUCCAAACACACCAAGACAGUCAUGAAGAGGGCAUGACAAAGGCUAUUCCCCCUCAGGAGACUGAAAAGAUUUGGCAUGGGUCCUCAGAUCCUCAAAAGGUUCUACAGCUGCACCAUCGAGAACAUCCUGACUGGUUGCAUCACUGCCUGGUAUGGCAACUGCUUGGACUCUGACCGCAAGGCACUACAGAGGGUAGUGUGUACAGCCCAGUACAUCACUGGGCCAAGCUUCCUGCCAUCCAGGACCUCUAUACCAGGUGGUGUCAGAGGAAGGCCCUAAAAUUUGUCAAAGACUCCAGCCAUCCUAGUCAUAGACUGUUCUCUCCGCUAUCGCAUGGCAAGCGGUACCGGAGCGCCAAGUCUAAGUCCAAAAAGCUUCUUAUAACAGCUUCUCUCAUUUAUUAUCUAUGCAUAGUCACUUUAACUCUACCUACAUGUAUAUAUUACCUCAAUUACCUCGAAUAACCGGUGCCCCCGCACUUUGACUCUGUACUGGUACCCCGUGUAUAUAGCCUCGAUAUUGUUAUUUUACUGCUGCUGUUUAAUUAUGUGUUACUUUUAUUUUCUAUGUUUUACUUAUCAAUUUUUUUACUUAACACUUAUUUUUUUUAACUGCAUUGUUGGUUAAGGGCUUGUAAGUAAGCAUUUCACUGUACGGUCUACACCUGUUGUAUUCGGCGCAUGUGACAAAUACAAUUUGAUUUGAUUUGAUUAGAAAGCUAAACAUCUCCCUAGUUAGCUAGUUGACUGCUGUGGCUAGCCAAAAGGGACUUGUUUUGAAAGUUGGAUCAUGUAAUCCUUUGGGGCUCCAGAGUGGUGCAGCGGUCUAAGGCACUGCCUCUCAGUGCAAGAGGUGUCACUAUAGUCCAUGGUUCAAUUCCAGGCUGUCUCACACCCGGCCGUGAUUGGGAGUCCCAUAGGGUGGUGCACAACUGGCCCAGUGUCACGUCCUGACCAGUAUAAGGGUUAUUUGUUAUUGUAGUUUGGUCAGGACGUGGCAGAGGGUAUUUGUUUUAUGUGGUUCGGGGUGGUGGUUUAUUUAGUAGGGCGUUUGAUUUAUUAUUUCCGGGUUUUGGUUUAUGUUCUAUGUUUUGUACUUCUAUGUUCUUUCUGUGUUGGUAUAUUUCUAUGCUUAGGUUAAUGGGGGGUUGGACUCUCAAUUGGAGGCAGGUGCUUUCUCGUUGCCUCUGAUUGAGAGUCCUAUAUAUGGGUAAUUGUUUGGUUUAGUGUUUGUGGGAGAUGUCUCUUGUUUUGCGUGUCUAUGCCUGACAAGACUGUUGUGUUGAUCGUUAGUUCUUCGUUGUUUGUUGUUUUGGUGUUCACUUUAUUUUCAAAUAAAUCAAGAUGAGCAUCCCACAUUCCUGCUGCGUUUUGGUCCUCCAUUCCAGACGACAACCGUGACACCCAGUGUCAUCCUGGUUUGGCUGGGGUAGGCUGUCAUUGUAAAUAAGAAUGUGUUCUUAACUGACUUGCCUAGUUAAAUAAAUAUAAAAAUCCUUUGAGGCUUUAGACAUG
rnacentral:lncRNA from 1 species